rnacentral:tRNA from 1 species
UCCCUUAUAGCUCAGUUGGGAAAGAAUCUGCCUGCAGUGCAGGAGACCCAGGUUCAAUUCCUGGGUUGGGAA